AAGAUGGAGGACGACGAGCUCGCGUCGUACAUCCUCGCCGGCCUCGACUCCGAGUGGAACGCGCUCGUCACCGCCAUGACCACCAAGACUGAGACGGUAUCCCUCUCUGAAUUAUAUGCUCACCUCCUCAAUUUCGAGA